GUAACAGGAUUUGUGCGUGCGUAAAAAGAUUUGUGCGUGCGUAAAAAGAUUUGUGCGUGCGUAACAGGAUUUGUAAACCUUAAAAAUAAAAUACAUGUUGAAAAAGUACACACAAAUCACCUGGUACGCACACACAAAACUGCAGUUACACACAAAUCCGGUUACGAGUGCACAACUAUUUUUGAGACUCAUUUCAUGCCUCGGUGGAAGCUCCAAGAUUUGUGUGUAGAUGGUGCGUUUACAUGCUAGUAAAAGCUGGGACAUCUGAGUUUUCUUCGGAACUGUUUCUUUUUUCCAUAGUUCAAUACGUAUUUCUCUCUUUACUUGUCUCGUGGCUUAGACAUAUUUUUGUGAGAGAAAAAUACAUAUGUCAUUACACCCACGUCUACGUUUUAAUACUAUAAGAUUGUUUAUAUAUGAAUCCGCAUUUGGGACCUAUAAAACUGUAAUUACUUGGGUAAAAAAUUCGACCACUAGGUGGUGGAAGUUUAUUCCGCUCUGACUGGGAAAAGCCUUCAUUCAAACUGAGAGAAGAAACAAGAGAAUGGCGGGUCAGCCGAGUGAUCGUGUUCGUGGUCUACCGUCCGAAGUGGAUGUGGUUAUUCCGUCAGUUUGUCGAAGAAGGUAAUAUGUCUGCAUGAGCAUUUUGACAGUAUUUAUAUGUUAUUUUGAAAAUGACAAAAGACAUGUGCAUUACAUACCAGCAUAUUUCUGCUAAUCAUGUCUUACAACACAGCACAGAUAAAUUAGGUACAUUAGCAGUAUUCAUAUAAAGUAAUUAUUUGCAUUUGGUGGAAAAAGGAUGCAAAGCCCUUAUUAGGUUUCCAAACAGUUUUGUAUACCAGUUACAAAAAGACUAUGUGGCUAUAGAACAGACUUAAAGUAAAAUGAGAAGUUGUCUGGUGUUUACUCUGCACCAAAAAUACGAUUCAGUUUGUUCUUGCCCAACACC